AGAGUUUGAUCAUGGCUCAGGAUGAACGCUAGCGGCAGGCCUAACACAUGCAAGUCGAGGGGUAUAAGGAGCUUGCUCCUUAGAGACCGGCGCACGGGUGCGUAACGCGUAUGCAAUCUACCUUGUACAGGGGGAUAGCCCAGAGAAAUUUGGAUUAAUACCCCAUUGUAUUAUGAAAUGGCAUCAUUUUAUAAUUAAAGUUCCAACGGUACAAGAUGAGCAUGCGUCCCAUUAGUUAGUUGGUGUGGUAACGGCACACCAAGACGAUGAUGGGUAGGGGUCCUGAGAGGGAGAUCCCCCACACUGGUACUGAGACACGGACCAGACUCCUACGGGAGGCAGCAGUAAGGAAUAUUGGACAAUGCCCGCAAGGGUGAUCCAGCCAUGCCGCGUGCAGGAAGACGGCCCUAUGGGUUGUAAACUGCUUUUAUACCGGAGAAAACCCCCCUACGUGUAGGGGGCUGAUAGUAUGGUAAGAAUAAGCAUCGGCUAACUUCGUGCCAGCAGCCGCGGUAAUA
rnacentral:rRNA from 1 species